rnacentral:rRNA from 1 species
UGUUAUUGACCACUGGAAUAAAAGGUCUGACGAAAAAAUAAUUUUCUUUUACUUAAUAUAAAUUAAUUAGUAAAUAAAAAAGUUUAUUUUACCUAGAUAGACGAUAAGACCCUAAAACCUUUAUCGAGUAUAAACCUCUUUUUGCUGGGGAGGCAAACUAUAAUUUCCAUAGUUUAUAAAAACAAAAUAAAUGGCUUUAAAUAACUUAAGCUUAAAUUCAAAAAGGUACUUUAGGGAUAACAGCAUAAUUUUUAUACAGAGUUUACUUAUCGACAUAAAAGAUUAUGACCUCGAUGUUGAAUUGAUAUUACUUUACUAAGCAGCCCUAGUAAUUUGCAGGUCUGUUCGACCUUUAAUUUAUCACAUGAUCUGAGUUCAAACCGGA